UCUCACUCUCUGACCUUAAUUUCUCAUUGCUCGCCGGCACCAUUGCUGGGUCUUUGCUUCACCAGUCACCACAGGUCCAUAGUUGCCAUUUGAAAAAAAACUGGGUUUUUAUUUUUAACGAUGAAACGCAUCAUUUCAUUUAGAGGUUAAAAAAAAAAAAACACACACACAAAAAAACAUAAAACGGUGUCGUUUUAAGCUAGGGUUUGUGAAGUAUAAAUACUUUCUUUUCUCUCCAAACACCCUAAAUCUCUCAGCCUCAAACACUCAGUGUCUCACUCUCAGACCUCAAUCUCUCUCGGCUCGUUGGCACCGCUACUGGGUCUUUGCCUCACCAAUCACCACAGGUCCAUAGCCGCCGUCGCAUUUUGAUUUUUAGGUGGAUUGAGCCGAGAGAGUUCUCACUCUUAUUCAAUCCUUUCAUUGAGAGAAUUGGUUGAAGGAUGCGAAGAAAAAAAGACCAAUAAAGCUUCGGGAUUGCAUGAAUAAUGUGGAGGAUAUGGAGGGUUUUGAGAUUGACACUAAAAUUGCAUUAGUUUGCCCAAUGCCUAUGGAGGAGGAUCUAAGCACCGUUGUGUUGGAUGAUGAUGAGUGAUGUGCUACUCUUUGCCUGGAGUUAGUUAGUAGUUAGUAUAAUGAGUUCUAGAAUGAUACAUAGUGCACAGACUUACUAGACAAAUGGACUUACUGGAAUUAGCAUUCUUUUGCCUAUAUGCUAAUGAUAUUUGUACAUGUUAUUGGUAGUGGACUUUUCACUAAUGGUAGUUACUAGGUAGUUAGGGAUAUGAUGAUAUUGGGGAUACAAGCAAUUAACAUUCUUUUACCUAAAUGCUAAUUUAAUUUGUAUAUCUUUAUUUUGGCAUUUGUGGACAACAACAAAUGGUUAUGUAAUACGUUAUUAAGUGGAUACAUUGACACUUAUUAUUAUUGACACUGACACACACACAAUGACACUAGUAUGGUCCAUGAUGGUGUUUUGGAAAAUGAACUCUUGUUGAGACAAUUUACAUACUAUCUAU